rnacentral:rRNA from 1 species
GACGAACGCUGGCGGCGUGCUUAACACAUGCAAGUCGAACGGAAAGGCCCUGCUUUUGUGGGGUGCUCGAGUGGCGAACGGGUGAGUAACACGUGAGUAACCUGCCCUUGACUUUGGGAUAACUUCAGGAAACUGGGGCUAAUACCGGAUAGGAGCUCCUGCUGCAUGGUGGGGGUUGGAAAGUUUCGGCGGUUGGGGAUGGACUCGCGGCUUAUCAGCUUGUUGGUGGGGUAGUGGCUUACCAAGGCUUUGACGGGUAGCCGGCCUGAGAGGGUGACCGGCCCCAUUGGGACUGAGAUACGGCCCUGACUCCUACGGGAGGCAGCAGUGGGGAAUAUUGCACAAUGGGCGGAAGCCUGAUGCAGCAACGCCGCGUGCGGGAUGACGGCCUUCGGGUUGUAAACCGCUUUCGCCUGUGACGAAGCGUGAGUGACGGUAAUGGGUAAAGAAGCACCGGCUAACUACGUG